AUUGAACGCUGGCGGCAUGCCUUACACAUGCAAGUCGAACGGCAGCGCGGGGCAACCUGGCGGCGAGUGGCGAACGGGUGAGUAAUAUAUCGGAACGUACCCUGGAGUGGGGGAUAACGUAGCGAAAGUUACGCUAAUACCGCAUACGAUCUAAGGAUGAAAGCAGGGGACCGCAAGGCCUUGUGCUCCUGGAGCGGCCGAUAUCUGAUUAGCUAGUUGGUGGGGUAAAGGCCUACCAAGGCAUCGAUCAGUAGCUGGUCUGAGAGGACGACCAGCCACACUGGAACUGAGACACGGUCCAGACUCCUACGGGAGGCAGCAGUGGGGAAUUUUGGACAAUGGGCGAAAGCCUGAUCCAGCAAUGCCGCGUGAGUGAAGAAGGCCUUCGGGUUGUAAAGCUCUUUUGUCAGGGAAGAAACGGUGGAGGCUAAUAUCCUCUGCUAAUGACGGUACCUGAAGAAUAAGCACCGGCUAACUACGUGCCAGCAGCCGCGGUAAUACGUAGGGUGCAAGCGUUAAUCGGAAUUACUGGGCGUAAAGCGUGCGCAGGCGGUUUUGUAAGUCUGUCGUGAAAUCCCCGGGCUCAACCUGGGAAUUGCGAUGGAGACUGCAAGGCUAGAAUCUGGCAGAGGGGGGUAGAAUUCCACGUGUAGCAGUGAAAUGCGUAGAGAUGUGGAGGAACACCGAUGGCGAAGGCAGCCCCCUGGGUCAAGAUUGACGCUCAUGCACGAAAGCGUGGGGAGCAAACAGGAUUAGAUACCCUGGUAGUCCACGCCCUAAACGAUGUCUACUAGUUGUCGGGUUUUAAUUAACUUGGUAACGCAGCUAACGCGUGAAGUAGACCGCCUGGGGAGUACGGUCGCAAGAUUA
rnacentral:rRNA from 1 species